rnacentral:rRNA from 1 species
GACGAACGCUGGCGGCGUGCUUAACACAUGCAAGUCGAACGGAAAGGCCCUUCGGGGUACUCGAGUGGCGAACGGGUGAGUAACACGUGGGUGAUCUGCCCUGCACUUUGGGAUAAGCCUGGGACACUGGGUCUAAUACCGAAUAGGACCACGCGCUUCAUGGUGUGUGGUGGAAAGCUUUUGCGGUGUGGGAUGGGCCCGCGGCCUAUCAGCUUGUUGGUGGGGUAAUGGCCUACCAAGGCGACGACGGGUAGCCGGCCUGAGAGGGUGACCGGCCACACUGGGACUGAGAUACGGCCCAGACGCCUACGGGAGGCAGCAGUGGGGAAUAUUGCACAAUGGGCGCAAGCCUGAUGCAGCGACGCCGCGUGAGGGAUGACGGCCUUCGGGUUGUAAACCACUGUCAAUAGGGACGAAGCGCAAGUGACGGUACCUAUAGAAGAAGCACCGGCCAACUACGUG